AAAAUCUUCUAGGAGCAGCUAACAAGAAUCCUAAUACAGGAGUGUUUAUGGUUGGGUUGAGACACAUUCAGUAGCUGAGUGAUUGACAGCAAGAGGAGCAAGACAUGAGGAGCUGGUGACACAGUUAUUAUGGAAGGAUAACUGAUAGUCUUAAGUUAAUAAUUAUCAAAUAUAUGGCAAUGCUGGACUUUAGCUGAUCAUCGUGCUUCUGGAAAACAACAAAAAUUGAGAUAUCUGUUCACCACUUUGUGUGUCCAAGGACCACCUACUUUUUACAUGUGACAAGAACUACCCACCUCCACUCUUCAGGAUAGAACAUGCUGAAGAAAAGAGUUGCAAUGAGAAAAUAUAUGGGAACAAAAUACCUAUGCAAUGCAGAAGUCUGCAUAACUGAACCACUCAGAGGAAAAAGUUUCCCUCCCAGGCUGGAGUACAAUGGCGCGACCUCGGCUCACUGCAACUUCCACCUCCCAGUUCAAGCAAUUCUCCCACCUCAGCUUCCUUAGUAGCUGGGAUUACAAGUGCCUGACACCAGGCCAAGCUAUUUUUGUAUUUUUAGUAGAGACGGGGUUUCACCAUUUUGACCAGGCUGGUCUCAAACUCCUGACCUCAGUCCAUCGGUCCACCUCGGCCUCCCAAAGUGCUGGGAUUGCAGGCAUGAGCCACCGCUCCUGGCCUCAAGUUUAAUUCUUAAAUUGCCAUUUCAGGACACCUCCUACAUCUGAGGAAAUAUGCAUUGAUCUUGCAGUACUUUUCUCCUCCAAAUAAAAGUCAGUAUGAUAACAACUACACUAUCAGAAGAUUAAUGUCCACAACGUGCACUGGCAUGUUCAUCACAGCAGUAUUCUCAAUAGUAAAGACAAAGAAUUGGCCAGGCGCGGUGGCUCACACCUGUAAUCCCAGCACUUUGGAAGGC
rnacentral:lncRNA from 1 species